UCAUCAGCUGUUCCCGUUUCCAUCGCGGGCUUACUAUCAUCUUCUGUGUUUGCUCUUCUCUGUUUGGUCUUCUGCGUGGUUGGGGCUUAAGGUCCCACCUUUAGGUACGAUUGCCACCAUCUACUCCGUUUCUCAAAUCCCUAGUUUUUGUUUUCCCAGAUCCCUUUAAUUAAUAUAUUGAUAUCCUCUUUCGCUUUAUAAUUUAGGGUUUAUGAAUUAUUACUUAAUGUAUUGAUUUCCUCUUCCGUCUACUUGCUUCUGCUAGGACUCGUGGGAACAUUUGUUGUGCACAGUGAGACAAAUGUUCUUCCAGCAUCAAAUUUUAUAGCUUUGAUUUUUGGUUAUUAUCUUGGUUAUGACUGUAUUAUGAUUAUGCCUCUGUUACUGUUUCACAUAUGGUUUAUAUGCUACAUAACCAAAGUUUCUAUUUUCAUGUUACAUCCUUGGUUGACAAUAUGCAUUAUUGCACCUUGUUUUUGAAAUAUGCCUUUAUUGUUCUAGAGCUGUGAAAAAGUUCAAACCCUUGGUUUUUUGGGCUGUUAGGUUAUUGUUAAUGGUUUGAGGUUUCAUGCUCACAAGAUUGUGAAUUAUACCCUUUUUAUGGAUAUGAAAGGAAAUUUUUCUAAUUUACCUUUGGUUUACUCACUCUGCCUAUGUAUUUCCAAAGAUGUAUUGGGUAUGAUAUUGGACUGAAUUAUUGGUUGUUGUUUUCAUUGAUUUGGAUUGAAACUUGUAACAAUGGGAACAAAGAUGGUCUGAAGUGCUGAUAAGAUGAGGAAGGCACUAAAAGAAUAAAGAGGAGGAAUGAUGAUAGUAUUUUGAACUCUGGCAAUCAUGGUCACAUCUAUCAUAUUGAUUAUGCCACAAAAUUGCAACCACAUUUUAAAACCAUUUAUGUUACUAUGUUAUUUCAUGUUUUUAACUGUGCAGUAUCUUUAGGAUUAGUAUGAGACUUUAUCUUACUUCUAGUUAAUUGGGUGUGCCUUUUUUCUUGGCUGAAGCCUUGACCUUAUCAUGACAGCCUCUCUUAGAUUCCUGAAAUAUUUAGAGUGCAAUCUGUAGAUCUAUUUGCAUUGAAGUCUAAGGGUUUCUUGUUAUGGUUUAAAAUUUUCUAGCUUUGUUUUAUGUGUAAUAUAGUAAGGAGUUGAGAUAAGAUGUUGUCCCUUCUCUAUAGAUCAGAGUGCUCUACCAACAAUGUGUUAGUGUAGCGGUGUUAGACCCCAUUAGAUCCCCAGAAACACCAGAAG
rnacentral:lncRNA from 1 species